UACAGAGGUCUCAAGCGUUGUUCGGAUUCACUGGGCGUAAAGGGUGCGUAGGUGGUCGGGUAAGUCUGAUGUGAAAUCUCCGGGCCUAACCCGGAAACUGCAUCGGAUACUAUUCGGCUAGAGGGUUGGAGGGGGGACUGGAAUACUUGGUGUAGCAGUGAAAUGCGUAGAUAUCUGGAGGAAUACCGGUGGCGAAGGCGGCAUCCUGGACCAUUACUGACGCUGAGGCGCGAAAGCUAGGGGAGCAAACGGG
rnacentral:rRNA from 1 species